CUUUCUCUUUCUUAGUGUUCUUGAUAUCCUUUUCUCUUAUCAAUGUUCACACAUCAUCCAUGAAAUUUCUGCCACUAAUGUAUUCUCCAUCAAGUUUCUGAUCGUAUCUAGCCUAAACUUGUUCCAUUUUUGUGUGAUUUUGAAGUUAUUCGGUCGAUCUGAUCUGGGUUGGUUGGAUGUAAGCUCGUGUGUUGGGUUUGAAGGAAACCCAUAAUUGUCUCUAUAAACAUUCAAUUCAGGUACUUCAUUUCUUCAGUUUGAGGGAUUAUUUCCAUGGAUAAACCCCUUAUUGCCCUAGAAACCUAUGAAGACUAUUCAAUGUUGGCCUCAUCAAUGGUGGUAGACAUAUAUACAGAGAGUGAUGAAGCUUAUUUUUCACCACUACCUUCAUAUACUAUAGUCCCAGAAACUUGCAAUUAUUCGUCGCCACCACCGCCAGAUAAGGUGAUCCCAAGUGUAUAUGCUCAGAGUAAUGAAGUUGAUUUCUCCGACUUAUCUGACCUUGUGGUUCCAGAAACACCAGAACAUGUAUUUACUGAAGUGGAAUGACAAAUUCCAAGGAGCGUGUUAGGAGAUUCGGUGAACUACCAAAGAGUGAUUUCUCCAAGUUGGUUGAUCAAUCCCAAGAAAAAACCCCUCAUGAGUCCACAUUUUGAGAGUAAUUUUGAACGGUGUUAUGGUAAUUCCGAGUAUCUGGUGAUGGUUGACUAUCAGGUGUUUUGGAAGCACCAAGAUUUCGUCUUGGAAUAUUAUAAGUUGAUGUGGCCAGAACACUUCCCUGGAGAUUAAUCUGAAUAAGUCAUUAUGUCUCUCAUUUUAAAUUUAAUCCUUAUCUUGUCGUUUAUGGUUGAUUAAACAUGACUAUCCGUUAACUUAUGGGGUUUAACAACUCUUGUGUUGUGUGAUACUUUGUGUGUUCUUAUGGGGUUUGUCAAUGGUCUACAUCUCAAGGAUAUUAUGUUAGAGAUGAGUCUUUACAUAGAACUAUAUUAAUACAAACUUGCAUAUGUACUCA